rnacentral:rRNA from 1 species
CUGAUUGCAGCCAUGCCCGCGUGUGUGAAGAGGCCUUCGGGUUGUAAAGCACUUUCAGUCAGGAGGAAAGGGUGUGAGUUAAUACCUCAUAUCUGUGACGUUACCGACAGAAGAAGCACCGGCUAACUCCGUGCCAGCAGCCGCGGUAAUACGGAGGGUGCGAGCGUUAAUCGGAAUUACUGGGCGUAAAGCGUACGCAGGCGGUUUGUUAAGCGAGAUGUGAAACCCCGGGCUCAACCUGGGAACUGCAUUUCGAACUGGCAAACUAGAGUGUGAUAGAGGGUGGUAAAUUUCAGGUGUAGCGGUGAAAUGCGUAGAGAUCUGAAGGAAUACCGAUGGCGAAGGCAGCCACCUGGAUCAACACUGACGCUCAUGUACGAAAGCGUGGGGAGCAAACGGGAUUAGAUACCCCGGUAGUCCACGCCGUAACGAUGUCUACUAGACACUCGGAACC